rnacentral:rRNA from 1 species
GGAAGGAUCAUUACUGAAUUGUCAAACGGGUUGUUGCUGGCCCUCAUAGGGGGCAUGUGCACGCUCUGUUUACACAUCCACUCACACCUGUGCACCCUCUGUAGUUCUAUGGUCUGGGGGACCCUGUCUUCCUUCUGUGGUUCUACUUCUUUACACACACACUGUAAUAAAGUUUUAUGGAAUGUACAUCGCGUCUAACGCAAUACAAUACAACUUUCAGCAACGGAUCUCUUGGCUCUCGCAUCGAUGAAGAACGCAGCGAAAUGCGAUAAGUAAUGUGAAUUGCAGAAUUCAGUGAAUCAUCGAAUCUUUGAACGCACCUUGCGCCCCUUGGCUAUUCCGAGGGGCAUGCCUGUUUGAGUAUCAUGAACACAUCAACUCUCAUGGUUUGCCAUGAUGAGUUGGACUCUGGGGGUUUUGCUGGCCUGUGGUCGGCUCCUCUUAAAUUAAUCAGCCUCCCAGUGUUUGGUGGCAUCACGGGUGUGAUAAAUAUCUACGCUCGCUGUUGUCUGCCAGGUAACCUUUGGUAACAAAGGUUUGCUGGAGCUCACAGAUGUCUCUCCUCAGCGAGGACAACUUUUUUAACGUUCGAUCUCAAAUCAGGUAGGACUACCCGCUGAACUU